CAGCCGCGGUAAUACAGAGGUCUCGAGCGUUGUUCGGAUUCAUUGGGCGUAAAGGGCGCGUAGGCGUCGGGGUAAGUCUGGUGUGAAAUCUAGGAGCUCAACUCCUAAACUGCACUGGAUACUGCUCUGCUAGAGGACUGGAGAGGAGACUGGAAUUCACGGUGUAGCAGUGAAAUGCGUAGAUAUCGUGAGGAAGACCAGUGGCGAAGGCGGGUCUCUGGACAGUUCCUGACGCUGAGGCGCGAAGGCCAGGGGAGCAAACGGGAUUAGAUACCCCGGUAGUCCUGGCAGUAAACGGUGCACGUUUGGUGUGCGCGGAUUCGACCCCGUGCGUGCCGGAGCUAACGCGUUAA
rnacentral:rRNA from 1 species